rnacentral:tRNA from 1 species
GUUUCUAUGGUGUAAUAACGCACGUUAGAUUUUCAUUCUAAAAGAAUAAAAUAUAAAUUUAUUAGAAAUA